CACAUCUUACCUGAACUUCUAAUAACCUCUGUGAGGAGAGAAAACUAAAUGAUUGUGUGAGUGUGUGUACUGUGGUGUUGGGGGAGAGAUCCCUUCCUUACUCUCAAGAGGUAAUCUUUGCUUCCCCACCAUGAAGCACAAGACUUGAUUAACUUUAUCCUAGCAUACCAAUAAAUGUUGUAUUGGCCAUAAAAACAGUCAGCUCUAGUAUAAAUCCAACUCCAGUAUUUAAUUCCUUGACCUUCCAUGUCAGAAAUUCCCACAAGCAAGCUACAUGCCCUGUGAAGUGUCUCCUUUUUAUUGGUUCUAAAUUUACCGUUUGAUCACUUUGUAGCUCCUACACUCAUCGUGCUACGAGACAACAUAAAAAAGGACUGUUCCAGAGACCUUCAUAUUUUGGAACAUCUUUAUCCAUCCUACUCUGACUGUUCCCUCUGCCCCAACUCUUCCAUAUGGAAAUGGAAUCCAUUUUUCCACAUGGACUGGAAAUCCUUAGAUGUUAAAAAUAUUUUUAAAAGCUCCACUGAGAUUUAG
rnacentral:lncRNA from 12 species